UGGUUUCCCAUAGUUCGCAUGGCUGCCACGCGCUGCCCGCUCUUGCCACGUAGGGUUGUCUGUUUCCUCCCCUCCUCUCCUGGCUUCUGAUGUGCUCUAUGAUCUGUUUGGCCAGAAAUCAGACAACUGCGCUUUUUAGAACUACGUGCACGGGAAGAAUGGACGGAGCUGACACCAAGAGCUCAGAGGCUGCACGAGAACCAAAGCACGAGGGCGACAGCGGCAGUGUGGCGACGUGAGAAGACUUCCUGGCCUCUCCCCGUGAAGUUACAACAAGCUGGACACCUGCAGCUCAACCAAGAGCUCCCUGCUCAGCGCACACACUCGUCUGGGAGACCCGCGCAUCAGGGAGGAGCACACAGUGGGUGUGUGUUUGGCGCCCUCUACAGGAAACUAUGCGGAUUGGGCAUCGCUGCAGAGGGAGCUGCUUGGCAGAAGCGAAGGUUACCUUCAAGACCCACAGUAACUAUGUUAAUGAACCGUGUUGGAUGAAGCGCUUUCUAACCCUGAGCCCUCAAGUUUCCUGUCCUCUUCAACAGAGAAUGUUGAACCUGAUCAUGAACAUUUGUUGAACCACGUUUGAGCUGCAAACACAGUGGUUUUCUCGAGAGCCAAGGGCUUGGCGAGGGUGUUACAGGGCCUGCAAACAACUUGAAAAUCCUUCCGCCCAGUCUGUACCUGAGACUUAGUUGCAAUCUGCUUCUGAAGGGCGGGCAGCUAGCUCGGCUGAACUGCAAAUGCCAGACUCCACGGGGAGUCAGAACCCACACUUGAAAGACGUCAAAAGCCCCCUUUGGCUGUCUUUCUGUCUAGUCCACGCCCCGUGGUUCGUUAAUUAGCAUAAUGGGUGUGAAGAAUAAUCAUUCAUCCGUGAAACAAUGGACUGGCCAGGAAUAUUGUCUAGAAGCUGGAUUCUAAACACUCUUGCCCACGAAUGAAUCGAACGAGCCCACAGUAUGUAAUUUUAAUUUUCUAGUAGUCGCUUUUUAAAAAGUAAAAAGAAGCAGCUGAACUCCAUUUGAAUAAUACAUUUUACUUAAGCCAAUAGAGCUGAAAUGUUAGCAUUUCAGUAUGUCAUUGACAUUAAAACUAUUUAUGAGCUAUUUUA